rnacentral:rRNA from 1 species
AUACGGAGGAUCCGAGCGUUAUCCGGAUUUAUUGGGUUUAAAGGGUGCGUAGGUGGUUUGAUAAGUCAGCGGUGAAAGUUUGCAGCUUAACUGUAAAAAUGCCGUUGAAACUGUCGGACUUGAGUGUAAAUGAGGUAGGCGGAAUGAGUGGUGUAGAGGUGAAAUGCAUAGAUAUCACUCAGAACUCCGAUUGCGAAGGCAGCGUAAGAAGCUGCAACUGACACUGGAGCACGAAAGUGUGGGGAAGAAACAGGAUUAUAUACCCUGGUAGUCCAAGCAUUAAACGAUGAUUACUAGCGGUUUGCGAUACACGAUAAGCUGCUUAGCGAAAGCAUUAAGUAAACCAGCUGGGGAGGACGCCAGUAACGGUGAAACUCAAACCAAUUUACGGGG